rnacentral:lncRNA from 10 species
UACUCAACUGAAGAUUGCACUUUGUCAAGAGUUUCUCAAGACUUGCGUGGCUUACGGAGCAGCAGCAGCAGUAGCAGCGUAUGGUGAUAUCUGUAUACAUUUAAAGCUUGAGAAGUCCUUCUCUAGAGUGAUUGGUGGCACAGUGGGCUAAUUGGUGCCUGAUCUUCCUGUUCUACAGAAGUGAGGAGACACAGCUAGGGAGAGCUGGAGCCCCUAGCUUGCUCAUGAAUACCCCAAUGAGCUUCAUUAUCUUCAUGAAUGUUCCUGACUUAUCCCGCCUACUUAUUUCUCUCCUCUAACUUCUACCAACCCUGAAGUGAUAAAGGACUCCUUGUUUUAGUUACUUGACAUUCAGAACAAGUUCUGUAUUUAUGGAUUCUUUACUUUAGAACACACUUGGAAAAGCUAGAAGAGAGGUACUGUAAGUGACUUAGGAAAGCAUUAGCUUUCACACUGUUUAAUCAUGUUCUGAUUCUUGCUCAUCUCAGUCCCCAGUUAUCUAA